CUGCAGCCCUUUCACAUCCAUCAUCAUCAACAUCAUCAACUCUGCACCUUCUAUGUACAGAGCACUGUAAACAAGUGCCUGGGAACAUACAACAAAUAAGAGAUAUAGAUGGUCCUGGUGCUUCAGGAGCUUACAAUUUAAACAACUGCAGUCACCAGGGCUGCUCUGGCCCCUGAGUUUAUCUCUGUGUGCUUGAUGAUCUGUUGGAGUAAGUGUGCCUGACCACGUGAGCCAGCUUGUAUACACAGAUGGCUAUUGGAGAAUGCUAGACGAUCCCAUCAUGAGAAGGAAUAACACAAGCAGAGAUUGGAGCUCAAGCAAUCCAUAUUCCCGCAAACUUCCCUGCGACUGUCUGGGAGAAAGAAUGACAGUGGAUGGAUGAAAGCAUACUGUGACACCAGUUAAGUGACCGAAACUCAGGUUCACAAGGCCAUGAUGAAGCUGUGAGGCCAAACAAAAGAACAAUUCCAGCUUACUGUGGACCAGUGAUCCUCAGCAUAUUUACAGACUUCUCUUGGCACAGCUGUGCACACUUUCCACAUUCCUGGGUCCAUAAUAUAUCCCCCUUUUCUGUCCCUGUGUGUGGUUAUAUGCUUGAGAGGAGAUGUCCCUAAAGCAUGAAGGGGAUGCCCAAAAUACAAACCAUCAAAAGGAAAA